rnacentral:miRNA from 1 species
GACGUCGAAUAUCGACGUCAUCAACACCAAAGUUGAUCAUGUUUAUGACGUUGAAUAUCGACGUCAUCAACACCAAACUUGUUCGUGUUUAUGACGCCGAAUAUCGACGUCAUAAACACCAAACUUGAUCGUGUUUAUGACGUCGAAUAUCGACGUCAUGAACACCAAACUUGUUCGUCUUUAUGACGUCGAAUAUCGAUGUCAUAAACACCAAACUUGUUCGUGUUUAUGACGUCAAAUAUCGACGUC